AUUGAACACUGGCGGCAGGCCUAACACAUGCAAGUCGAGCGGAUGAAGGGAGCUUGCUCCUGGAUUCAGCGGCGGACGGGUGAGUAAUGCCUAGGAAUCUGCCUGGUAGUGGGGGAUAACGUCCGGAAACGGGCGCUAAUACCGCAUACGUCCUGAGGGAGAAAGUGGGGGAUCUUCGGACCUCACGCUAUCAGAUGAGCCUAGGUCGGAUUAGCUAGUUGGUGGGGUAAAGGCCUACCAAGGCGACGAUCCGUAACUGGUCUGAGAGGAUGAUCAGUCACACUGGAACUGAGACACGGUCCAGACUCCUACGGGAGGCAGCAGUGGGGAAUAUUGAACAAUGGGCGAAAGCCUGAUCCAGCCAUGCCGCGUGUGUGAAGAAGGUCUUCGGAUUGUAAAGCACUUUAAGUUGGGAGGAAGGGCAGUAAGUUAAUACCUUGCUGUUUUGACGUUACCAACAGAAUAAGCACCGGCUAACUUCGUG
rnacentral:rRNA from 1 species